rnacentral:rRNA from 1 species
AGUGAACGCUGGCGGUAGGCCUAACACAUGCAAGUCGAACGGCAGCACAGUAAGAGCUUGCUCUUACGGGUGGCGAGUGGCGGACGGGUGAGGAAUACAUCGGAAUCUACUUUUUCGUGGGGGAUAACGUAGGGAAACUUACGCUAAUACCGCAUACGACCUACGGGUGAAAGCAGGGGAUCUUCGGACCUUGCGCGAUUGAAUGAGCCGAUGUCGGAUUAGCUAGUUGGCGGGGUAAAGGCCCACCAAGGCGACGAUCCGUAGCUGGUCUGAGAGGAUGAUCAGCGACACUGGAACUGAGACACGGUCCAGACUCCUACGGGAGGCAGCAGUGGGGAAUAUUGGACAAUGGGGGCAAGCCUGAUCCAGCCAUAGCGCGUGGGUGAAGAAGACCUUCGGGUUGUAAAGCCCUUUUGUUGGGAAAGAAAAGCAGCAGGUUAAUACCCCGCUGUUCUGACGGUACCCAAAGAAUAAGCACCGGCUAACUUCGUG